AGCAUUUUAUAUUAUAAAACGUAAGCAUGAUGAUUGGGUUUUCAUGUUCAUAUGGGAGAUGUGCCUCCCUCAAGCCCUGUUAUGACACUGGCACAUUACCUGUCUGAGG